UGAGAGAAGAAAUAGCAGCCACUCUCCUCCAAAACACUGGUAAGUUGACUGAGAACACGAGCUGGUGUCACGAAUGUCGUCUUGAAAAUGACCGGAACAAUGUGCAGCGUGGUGAGUGUACCUUUUAAUUUAUUUCUAAAUGUCACCAACAAAACAAUAAACAACAAAACAAACGUGAAGCUCUGUAAGGCUAUACAUGCAUUAAAUGAAGACAACAACCCACAAAUGAGAAAAGGAAAAAAGGCUGCCUAAGUAUGAAUCCCAAUCAGAGACAACGAAAGACAGCUGUCCCUGAUUGAGAAUCAUACCCUGCCAAAACCAAAGAACCAGAAAGCAUAGACUUUCCCACCCAAGUCACACCCUGACCAAACAAACAUAGAGAAUAAAAGGAUCUCUACGGUCAGAGCAUGACAGUACCCCCCAAAAAAAAAAGUGCGGUCUCCGGCCACAAACCUGACACUAUAGGGGAGGGUCCGGGUGGGCAUCCAUCGUGGUGGCGGCUCCGGUGUGGGACGCAGACCCCGCUCCACCUCGGGCUCCCCCCACUUUGGUGGCGCCUCUGGUGCGGGGACCCUCGCCGCAGGCCCCGGACUGGGGACCCUCGUCGCAGGCCCCGGACUGGGGACCCUCGUCGCAGGCCUCGGACUGGGGACCCUCGUUGUAGGCCCCGGCCUGGGGACCCUCGCUGCAGGCCCCAGACUGGGGACCCUCACUGCAGGCGCCGGACUGGGGACCCUCGCUGGAGGCUUCGUGCCAUGGAUCAUCACUGGAGGCUUCGUUCCAUGUAUCAUCACUGGAGGCUUUGUGCCAUGGAUCAUCACUGGUGGCUUCGAACAUGGAGCCGGAACAGGUCUCACCGGUCUGAGAAGACCUACUGGAAGCCUGGUGCGUGGAGCUGCCACAGGGCUUACCAGGCUGGGGAGACAUAAUGGAGAACUUGUAUGUGGAACUGGAACAGGUCUCACCGGACUCGGGAGAUGCACUGGAAGCCUGGUGCGUGGAGUAGGCACCGGAUACACUGGGCCGUGGAGGCGCACUGGAGGUCUCAAGAGUAGAGCUGGCACAACCCGUCCUGGCUGGAUGGUUACUUUUGCCCGGCAAAUGCGGGGCGCUAGUACAGGACGCACUGGGCUGUGCAGACGCACUGGAGACACAGUGCGCAGAGCCGGCGCAGGAUAUCCUGGGCCGAAGAGAUGCACUGGAGGCCAGGAGCGCUGAGCUGGCACCAUCUGUCCUGGCUGGAUGCCCACUCUAGCCCAUCCAAUGCAGGGAGCUGGAAUAUAGCGCACCGGGCUGUGAACGUGCACUGGAGACACCAUGCGCUUCACCGCAUAACACGGUGCCUCACCAGUACCACGCUCCCUACCGUGAGCAAAAAACAGCCAAAAACAAAGAACCAGAAAGCAUAGACUUUCCCACCCGAGUCACACCCUGACCAAACAAACAUAGAGAAUAAAAGGAUCUCUACGGUCAGGGCGUGACAGCUGGUGAAUAGUUAGAAGGGAGAGCUGAUGAAUGAGCCAAUUGGAAGCCCUACAUUUGGAUUUCCUAACAAGAGUGCCACCAUGUGUUAUUGUGGGGAUUGAGGCACUUACUGGAAACUUAAGUGUUUAAUGAGCAUAGUAAUUCCAUGUAAAACUAUAAUUGCACUCAGGAUAACAUUAGAUCAGCAUGAAAUUACUGCUUGGUGCUGUAGAUAUAGGGACUAGAGCAAGAGUUUUGUCUGCUCAGGUCACAUGGUCAGGAAACAAAUCCUGGCCCUAUAGUGCAGGUUCACCAUGUCAUUGGCUGUGGUGUUAGAACAGAUGAAUCCUCAUUGCUAUUUCCAUGGUUAGGCCUUUCAUACCCUGAACCAAAUCACUGAAGCCAACAGAGACAGAUUAAAUUCAGAGAAGCUGGAUGGACUGCAGUGAUAUAACAGAUUCUGAUUGACUGUGGCUGAUUGUGAGUGUGGCAACGGCCCUGAGAAGCAAAGGAAGGAAUUUCCUGUUUCAAAAUUCAAAUAAAUAAAUAAAUAGUGGAUGUAACUUCUCAUGAAUGUUUACAAGAGUUCAUUCUACCGUCUCUCUCUCACACACACACCCUCUCUCUCUCUCUAGAAGAACAUAUAGUGUCAUAAUGAUGUGCGUAUGUGACUUGAGGAGUGUCUGCAGCUGUUUCUAAUGUCAUGCUAUUAUUACCUC
ensembl:lncRNA